UUAUCAUAAUGAUCUUUUAUCUACAUUCGUCGAACCAUUCUGAAUGGCCGUUGUGAGAAUAUCAUCAAGAACUUCUCACAUGCAAUAAAGCUGGAUUGUCCUACAUUGAAACAUUAAGUUUUUUGCUCUAUCGGAUAAAUUUUAUGUGGUUCAUAAUCAGUUUCAGGGAUUGUUAUCGUGGGAAUCCAAAGAGCGAAUUUUGUAUGACUUCAGUUUAGGCCAAUACUGCAAUAAAGCAUGUUACAAUCACUAACAUUUCUUCUCUCCCUAUCCUUGUUUUCAUAUUUAACCCGCCACUACCACGAGCAACAAUGCAAUGUAAACAGCGUAAUGGUCGAGGAAACGCGGAUACGGGAACGAUCGUCGGAACCAACGGACCAACGAAGGAUUGCAGCAACCUCCAGCUAAAUGAGAGAAGUAUCCAAUAUAACAGUCUAAUUUGGUUCAGACUUAAAAACUAUUUACACCCUGACAGAACUGCCUAUCUCAAAAAUAGGUAGAAGGGCGGGACGAUGGUGCGAGCCUACCCACUCUGUCAUCGGUGGGCGUCGGGCGUGCUAACUGGUAUAGCAUGGCCUAUGGGGCUCUGCCUGCACAAAUCAUGUUUUCUUUCUCUUUCACUUUUUUGUGAAUUGCUAACAACAAUGCCAUUGAAGUUAAUCCAAUACAAGAAUGCAGUGCAGAACCUCAUAACGCCUUUUUCGGUAAACGUAUUUCCCAGCGUGGGGUUUAUAGGGAUGUUUGUGUAAACAACGCAGAUUGGCCAUGGCUAGGGGGUGCGUUGAUAUUA